UAAAACCCAUAAAUUCACAAAAAACUUGGUUGUUGAGCGUGUAUUAGCCCCGUCCUCCUGCAGUAGAGGCAAGGAUAUACGACUUUUCCUUCUGGGUCCUCCCAGCUUGACACAAGACUUACUUAUUUCAGGUCAACUAUCUGUUUGCCCCUGAGCUGCUACCCACCACCCUGCGACCCUGGGGCACUGCCGCCUGUUUAAUCGCUGCCCACCUCGGCUUCUGUGUGCCUCCCUUCCUUACAAACUACCUGACUGAGGAGCAAACCUUGCUGGUGUUUGGCUUGUGUGCCGUCCUGGCUGGUAUGCUGGUCUUCCUGCUGCCGGAGACCAAUGGGCAGCCGCUGCUGGAGACCGUGGCGGACCUACGGGAACGUCUGUCACACAAGAAGCUCAAUACGACGGCCGAAGACAUAAACAAGCCUUAAUAUCCUAAUCAGUGCCUUAACCAAAAUCUAUAUUGUUUGUGUUGUUUUUCUAGAGGUAUGAUCACACCAUAAUGAUGAAUGACUUCUGAUUAGCGUAAAUAUUCCAGAAGUUUCUAUGUUUACAUAAAUAAAAAUUUAACUGCAGGUAGGUAAGACCACUGGUAUGCACAGACAGUUAUCAGACGAUAACUAACAUACAACUUUCCUGGGCGGUGAUGCAAAGAUCAAUACUUCUAUAUUUCCUUCUGUUAUGUAAUCCUAAGCCCAGUAAUGGCAUUAAAUAUUCAUUACGCACCA